rnacentral:rRNA from 1 species
AGUGAACGCUGGCGGUAGGCCUAACACAUGCAAGUCGAACGGCAGCACAGUAAGAGCUUGCUCUUACGGGUGGCGAGUGGCGGACGGGUGAGGAAUACAUCGGAAUCUACUUUUUCGUGGGGGAUAACGUAGGGAAACUUACGCUAAUACCGCAUACGACCUACGGGUGAAAGCAGGGGAUCUUCGGACCUUGCGCGAUUGAAUGAGCCGAUGUCGGAUUAGCUAGUUGGCGGGGUAAAGGCCCACCAAGGCGACGAUCCGUAGCUGGUCUGAGAGGGUGAUCAGCCACACUGGAACUGAGGCACGGUCCAGACUCCUACAGGAGGCAGCAGUGGGGAAUAUUGGACGAUGGGCGCAAGCCUGAUCCAGCCAUACCGCGUGGGUGAAGAAGGCCUUCGGGUUGUAAAGCCCUUUUGUUGGGAAAGAAAAGCAGCAGGUUAAUACCCCGCUGUUCUGACGGUACCCAAAGAAUAAGCACCGGCUAACUUCGUG